rnacentral:lncRNA from 1 species
GGUCGCGUGGCCACACAAAUCUGAAACAGAAACCAACACAUAAAUUGUUAUUUUGGACUUCAAAUAGUUCAGAAUUGACCUUUGAUAUCUAGUGUUGUUGAAACCAACAGCAUUAUUUAUUGAUAAAUGAACUUCUGAGCAUCAUAUUUCUAUAAGUGUUAUUGUUUAACUCGUCAUCAGUUACAAUUAUCGAAAUUUGGAACAUGUGUAAGUGCGGCUUUCGCAAACUACAUAACCUAGAAAAACACACGCACUAAGAGCAAGAAUGUAUACGUGGGGAACCAAUCGAGCUGAAGCCGAACCGGUAGAGAUGAAACAGAAUUGGCAAAAACAGAGGAAACUUAUGCUAGUUAAAAAGGCAGAUAAAGUUCGUGUACCGUAAUCCGAUGGUAUUUCUCCUU